GAUGAACGCUGGCGGCGUGCCUAAUACAUGCAAGUCGAGCGAACAGACGAGGAGCUUGCUCCUCUGACGUUAGCGGCGGACGGGUGAGUAACACGUGGAUAACCUACCUAUAAGACUGGGAUAACUUCGGGAAACCGGAGCUAAUACCGGAUAACAUGUUGAACCGCAUGGUUCAACAGUGAAAGACGGUCUUGCUGUCACUUAUAGAUGGAUCCGCGCCGCAUUAGCUAGUUGGUAAGGUAACGGCUUACCAAGGCAACGAUGCGUAGCCGACCUGAGAGGGUGUGCGCCCAACUUGUAAUUGAAACCGGGUCCGGACCCCCAGGGGGGGCAGAGUAAGGCAUUGUUCGGGAAGGGGCGAAAACCUGACGGGCCACCCCCGCGGGGGAGAAAAAGGUCUUCGAAUCGUAACCCUCUUUUAUUGGGAAAGAACAAAUGUGUAAGUAACUAGGCGCUUCUUGAGGUCCCAUAAUAAGAAGCCCACGCCUACCUACGUC
rnacentral:rRNA from 1 species